UACGGGGGGGGCAAGCGUUGUUCGGAAUUCCUGGGCGUAAAGGGCUCGUAGGUGGCCAACUAAGUCAGACGUGAAAUCCCUCAGCUUAACUGGGGAACUGCGUCUGAUACUGGAUGGCUUGAGUUUGGGAGAGGGAUGCGGAAUUCCAGGUGUAGCGGUGAAAUGCGUAGAUAUCUGGAGGAACACCGGUGGCGAAGGCGACAUCCUGGACCGGUAUUGACGCUGAGGCGCGAAAGCCAGGGGAGCAAACGGG
rnacentral:rRNA from 1 species